rnacentral:rRNA from 1 species
GACGAACCGUGCGAACGUUGUUCGGAAUCACUGGGCUUAAAGGGCGCGUAGGCGGGCCUCCAAGUCCGGGGUGAAAUCCUCCAGCCUAACUGGAGAAGAGCCUCGGAGACUGGGGGCCUCGAGGGAGGUAGGGGCGUGCGGAACUAUGGGUGGAGCGGUGAAAUGCAUUGAUAUCCAUAGGAACUCCGGUGGCGAAGGCGGCUCUCUGGGACGGUACUGACGCUGAGACGCGAAAGCGUGGGGAGCGAACAGG